rnacentral:rRNA from 1 species
UGGGUUCAGACCCACGGCGAACGGCUGCGUAACACGUUGGUACCUACCCCGGACUCAGGGAUAUCCCGCCGAAAGGUGGAGUAAUACCGGAUGACCUCGCAAGAGGAAAGAUUUAUCGGUCUGGGAAGGGCCUGCGGCCUAUCAGGUAGUUGGUAAGGUAACGGCUUACCAAGCCUAUGACGGGUAGCUGAUUUGAGAGAAUGAUCAGCCAGAAUGGAACUGAGACACGGUCCAU